GGGGCUGUGGUUCAGUGAUAGAACACUUGCCUGGCAUGCAAGAGGCACUGGGUCCAUCUCCAGCAUUUUCU
rnacentral:tRNA from 1 species